ACAAAACGACUCUCGGCAACGGAUAUCUCGGCUCUCGCAUCGAUGAAGAACGUAGCGAAAUGCGAUACUUGGUGUGAAUUGCAGAAUCCCGCGAAUCAUCGAGUUUUUGAACGCAAGUUGCGCCCAAAGCCGUUUGGCCGAGGGCACGUCUGCCUGGGUG
rnacentral:rRNA from 1 species